rnacentral:rRNA from 1 species
AAGCUCGUAGUUGAAUUUCGGGGUUAGUAGGUCGGUCAUGCCUCUGGUAUGAACUGGUCUCACUGAUUCCUCCUUCCUGAUGAACCGUAAUGCCAUUAAUUUGGUGUUGCAGGGAAUCUGGACUGUUACUUUGAAAAAAUUAGAGUGUUUAAAGCAGGCAUAAGCUUGAAUACAUUAGCAUGGGAUAAUGAAAUAGGACGUUUGAUCCUAUUUUGUUGGUUUCUAGGAUUGACGUAAUGAUUAAUAGGGAUAGUUGGGGGCAUUAGUAUUCAAUUGUCAGAGGUGAAAUUCUUGGAUUUAUUGAAGACUAACUACUGCGAAAGCAUUUGCCAAGGAUGUUUUCAUCAAUCAAGAACGAAAGUUAGGGGAUCGAAGACGAUCAGAUACCGUCGUAGUCUUAACCAUAAACUAUGCCGACUAGGGAUCGGAUGAUGUUAUUUUUAAUGACUCAUUCGGCGCCUUACGGGAAACCAAAGUGUUUGGGUUCCGGGGGGAGUAUGGUCGCAAGGCUGAAACUUAAAGGAAUUGACGGAAGGGCACCACCAGGCGUGGAGCCUGCGGCUUAAUUUGACUCAACACGGGGAAA